UGGGGAAUAUUGGACAAUGGGCGAAAGCCUGAUCCAGUCAUGCCGCGUGAGUGAUGAAGGCCUUCGGGUUGUAAAGCUCUGUCCUAGGGGACGAAACAAAUGACGGUACCCUAGAAGAAAGCACCGGCUAACUCCGUGCCAGCAGCCGCGGUAAUACGGAAGGUCCAAGCGUUAAUCGGAAUUACUGGGCGUAAAGCGCGCGUAGGUGGUUUAUUAAGUUGGAUGUGAAAUCCCCGGGCUCAACCUGGGAACUGCAUCCAAAACUGAUUCACUAGAGUACGAUAGAAGGAGGUAGAAUUCACAGUGUAGCGGUGGAAUGCGUAGAUAUUGUGAAGAAUACCAAUGGCGAAGGCAGCCUCCUGGAUCUGUACUGACACUGAGGAACGAAAGCAUGGGUAGCGAAGAGG
rnacentral:rRNA from 1 species